CUGGCGGCGUGCUACCAUGCAAGUCGAGCGGAAAUAAAUUAAGAUUUAUCUUGAUUUAUUUUAGCGGCGGACGGGUGAGUAACGCGUGGGUAACCUGCCUUUUACUGGGGAAUAACACCGGGAAACCGGUGCUAAUACCGCAUAAUGUUAAUCUGUGGCAUCACAGAAUGACCAAAGGAGUAAUCCGGUAAGAGAUGGACCCGCGUCCGAUUAGCUAGCUGGUAAGGUAAUGGCUUACCAGGGCGACGAUCGGUAGCCGAACUGAGAGGUUGAUCGGCCACAUUGGGACUGAGACACGGCCCAAACUCCUACGGGAGGCAGCAGUGGGGAAUAUUGCGCAAUGGGGGAAACCCUGAUGCAGCAACGCCGCGUGAAGGAUGAAGGUUUUCGGAUUGUAAACUUCUUUGAUUGGGGACGAAAAAAAUGACGGUACCCAAAAAACAAGCCACGGCUAACUACGUGCCAGCAGCCGCGGUAAUACGUAGGUGGCGAGCGUUGUCCGGAAUUACUGGGUGUAAAGGGCGUGUAGGCGGGAAAGCAAGUUAGAUGUGAAAGCCCAUGGCUUAACUGUGGAACUGCAUCUAAAACUGUUUUUCUUGAGUGAUGGAGAGGAAAGUGGAAUUCCCAGUGUAGCGGUGAAAUGCGUAGAGAUUGGGAGGAACACCAGUGGCGAAGGCGGCUUUCUGGACAUUAACUGACGCUGAGGCGCGAAAGCGUGGGGAGCGAACAGGAUUAGAUACCCUGGUAGUCCACGCCGUAAACGAUGGAUACUAGGGUGUAGGAGGUAUCGACCCCUUCUGUGCCGGAGUUAACACAAUA
rnacentral:rRNA from 1 species